AUGAAACAUGUACACAGCGAUAUAAUUAAGUUGGAUUGUGUUAAAAAAAAUCAAAAGAGCAAAAUAUUAUACAAAGUGACAUAUAUAUUUCAAGCAGAAUAUAUUGAAACCAAAAAAAAAAGGAUAUACAAUUGUAAAAUAGGAGCACAUUCAUUAAAGAAAACACAAUCAAACACAAUCAGUUUGCAAAUAGCAAAAGCCUAUACUUAG